GCAAGGGGAGCGGCAGACGGGAGAGUAAUACGUGGGAACGUACCCUUUGGUUCGGAACAACACAGGGAAACUUGUGCUAAUACCGGAUAAGCCCUUACGGGGAAAGAUUUAUCGCCGAAGGAUCGGCCCACGUCUGAUUAGCUAGUUGGUGAGGUAACGGCUCACCAAGGCGACGAUCAGUAGCUGGUCUGAGAGGAUGAUCAGCCUCACUGGGACUGAGACACGGCCCAGACUCCUACGGGAGGCAGCAGUGGGGAAUAUUGGACAAUGGGCGCAAGCCUGAUCCAGCCAUGCCGCGUGGGUGAUGAAGGCCCUAGGG
rnacentral:rRNA from 1 species